GUAGGGUGCAAGCGUUAAUCGGGAAUUACUGGGCGUAAAGCGUGCGCAGGCGGUUUUGUAAGACAGUGGUGAAAUCCCCCGGGGCUCAACCUGGGGAACUGCCAUUGUGACUGCAAGGCUGGAGUGCGGCAGAGGGGGAUGGAAUUCCGCGUGUAGCAGUGAAAUGCGUAGAUAUGCGGAGGAACACCGAUGGCGAAGGCAAUCCCCUGGGCCUGCACUGACGCUCAUGCACGAAAGCGUGGGGAGCAAACAGGAUUAGAUACCCUGGUAGUCCACGCCCUAAACGAUGUCAACUGGUUGUUGGGAAUUUAUUUUCUCAGUAACGAAGCUAACGCGUGAAGUUGACCGCCUGGGGUGUACGGCCGCAAAGGUUA
rnacentral:rRNA from 1 species